GGCCUCGGGUCCGUGAGCCACGCCAUCCGGGGGGGACGGCGAGUGCGGGCAGAGCGGGCCUGGGGUCCGUUGGGGGCCGGGCGAGCUGUCCGUUUUCCUAUUCACUUUCCCAGCCGGGUAUCCAGCGAGCACGGAGCAGGCAGGCACCCAGGCGAAAGGCGCCGCCCAGGAUCCGGCUGGACAGCAGGAUCGAGAGCGGCGCGGCGAGCGGUGCCCGAGGUUCGCGACCGAGAGGGCAGGCGAGCGAGGGCAACCCCGACCCGGCCCCCGAGCUCCAGUGUCCGACCCCGCGCAGGGGGCCACGCGACGGCCGCCCCUUGCCCAGAACUGGCACGGACGGGCGGGCCGACCCGGGCCACUCCACAACUUGCCGGCCCGCCGCCCCGGCCCCCCGCGAGAACCCGGGGAGACUCGAACCAGGCAGCAGAGGCAGGAUUUCCCCGGAAACGCGCCCUCCACGCCGCCCCGUGCGCCCGCGGCCGGCCGCGCUGCCCCCGCCGCCCCGACGCCCCCGCGGCCCUGCCCGCCAAGCCAGCGCCGACGCGGGCCGCGCUCCGGGGCCGUUUCCGGCGGCGCCGGCGGCCGCUACUCUGGGCGCCCUGGCCGCGGCCGUCACUCACCCCAGGCCGCCGCGGCUCCCAGCCUCCGGCUCCGUCAGGCUCGGUCCGCGAAGGCGCCUGCCGCCCCGUCCUGGCCCGGCACCCCGGCGAGCUCUUCCCUCCGACCAGCGGCGCUCCCGGCGCAGCGGCGGACGCGAGGCCACGGGCGGACGGGCGCGCGCGGGUGGCGGGCGGGCGUGGGGCCGGAUCGUCCCUGCGCCUCGCCGCCGCCUCCUCCGCCGCCGCCUCCCGAGUUCGGGGCUCUGCUGCAAUGUCUGCGAGGCUGACUUUGAGCGCCUCGCUCGCCGCCCGCCCGCCCGCAGCCGCGCUCCUCCCUCCGCCGCCGAGUCCGCCGCGGCCCAGUCCCUCCCUCGCCGCCCCACGCCAUUCAGCUCUUAAGCCAAGUUUCUUAACCCUUUUCUCCCCCUCCCUCCCAUUGUCAGCCGGUCAGGAGGAAGCCGUGCGGGUCCGGGCCGCUCGCGGGAGCUGCGGAGCCCCCUAUGGUUUUGAACCACGGAGAUUGCCCAGCAAGCCAAGAAUUUUCCAGCCCUCCAACAUUGGUGUUAAAAAGUCCACUGCUAUAUGCUAGAUGACUUCCCAAAGCCGUUCACUUAUUAUUAUUCUGUUUUCUCAACCCCACAAAAAUCCAGUCACUGAAAUCCCGAACUCUUUUGAUAGUGGCAUGAGUGUUAAGUUAAUUGCACACCUCUUGUGGAAUUCAUUUGCACUUAAUCUUGCUAAUCAUGUGGAGACUAUUUUGUUUGUUGUUGUUCUUUGUUUUUUAAAAUAAAUCAGUACCUAAAUUUCCUGGCUAACAGAGUCAUUGCAAGGAUACUAGGGCAUGAUAUGUAAUAUAAGAAUGCCUGUUUGGUAAUUUGUACUUCGAAGUCAAUUCUCAUUUGAAUCAUUUGUGAUGUGAAAACAAUGCUGUUCGGUUUAUAUACUUAAACACCUAAUUAUUGUUUUACGUCCAGGGUUCCUGUGGGACCACAUGCUUAUAGUUCAGUCUCAGUAUACCUAUCUGCCACAAAGAUGUAGUCUGGGAGGGGUGUGCCUUUGGUGUAUUCUCUAAAUCUCUCCUGUAUAGCAUUUUUCAAAACCAUUUUGUGAGUGGGUAUUUGCUUGUCUGUAUCCCACUGUAGAAUGCAAGCAGUACAGGCACAGGGUCCAUAUCCCUCUCAUUCACAUUUGGGGACUUCUAGCUACCUAUCCCUGUGCCCAGCAAGCAAUAGACAUUCAGUAGAUAUUGGCCAACAUACUGUCAUACUCCAGAGGACAGAAUGUAUCUUUCUCUUGGGGUCCUGGCUGUGAGGUAAGGAAGUUCAGAGAACAUUUUGCAGAGAAAAUAAUGCUUCCACUGGCCAUUAAAAGGUUAAAAGGAUUAGCCAUGUAGGCAGAGUGGGAAAAGGGGUUCUCAGGAGAGGACGUAGACUGUUUAACAGUAGAGAGAUAUGAGAAAACAAAAAUAUGCAUUGAGAAGUAUUGAGCCUGCAUUUAUACUGUGGAGUGAACUACGACACUUGAGGGGGGAAAUAUGUGUAACGUCCUAGAUCACAGACAAAUAGAACCCCAAUGCAGUUACCUUAUUAGCCACAGUCCCUUAGCCUCUGGAGCAGCACUGACCAAUAAAAACAAAGUGAACCACAAAUGUGAGCCACAUAUGGAAUAUUAAGUUUUCUGGUAGAUACAUUCAAAAAGUACAGAGGAACAGGUAAAAUUAGUUAUAAUAAUCCACUUUAACCCAAUACAUCAAAAAUUACCAUUUCAAUGUCUAUACAACAUACAAAAUCAUUAAUUAGAUAUUUUACAAUAUUUUAUAGUCUUCAAAAUCCAGUGUGUCUUUUACAUUUAUAGCACAUCUCCAUUUGGAUUAGUCAUAUUCCGG
rnacentral:lncRNA from 1 species